UACGUAGGGGGCUAGCGUUGUCCGGAUUUAUUGGGCGUAAAGAGCGUGUAGGCGGCCAGGUAGGUCCGUUGUGAAAACUCGAGGCUCAACCUCGAGACGCCGAUGGAAACCAUCUGGCUAGAGUCCGGAAGAGGAGAGUGGAAUUCCCGGUGUAGCGGUGAAAUGCGCAGAUAUCGGGAAGAACACCCGUGGCUAAGGCGGCUCUCUGGGACGGUACUGACGCUGAGACGCGAAAGCGUGGGGAGCGAACAGG
rnacentral:rRNA from 1 species